GCUCCGUUAACUCAGCGGUAGAGUGCGUCACUGUCCAUGACGAAGCCACCGGUUCGAACCCGGUACGGGGCGCCA
rnacentral:tRNA from 1 species